rnacentral:rRNA from 1 species
ACGGGUGAGUAAUACGCGGGCAACCUGCCUAUGCUUCGGGAUAAGCUUUGGAAACGGGGUCUAAUACCGGAUGUGCCUGUCUGGUCGCAUGGCUGGGCGGGGAAAGAUGUUUCGGCGGGGGAUGGGCUCGCGGCCUAUCAGCUUGUUGGUGGGGUGAUGGCCUACCAAGGCGUCGACGGGUAGCCGGCCUGAGAGGGUGGUCGGCCACACUGGGACUGAGAUACGGCCCAGACUCCUACGGGAGGCAGCAGUGGGGGAUAUUGCACAAUGGGCGCAAGCCUGAUGCAGCGACGCCGCGUGGGGGAUGGAGGCUUUCGGGUUGUAAACCCCUUUCGGCGCGGGACAAGGCUCCGUUUGGCGGGGUUGAGGGUACGCGUCAAAGAAGCGCCGGCUAACUACGUGCCAGCAGCCGCGGUAAUACGUAGGGCGCGAGCGUUGUCCGGAAUUAUUGGGCGUAAAGGGCUCGUAGGCGGCUUGUCGCGUCUGCUGUGAAAACGCGGGGCUCAACUCCGCGCGUGCAGUGGGUACGGGCAGGCUGGAGUGCGGCAGGGGUGGCUGGAAUUCCUGGUGUAGCGGUGGAAUGCGCAGAUAUCAGGAAGAACACCGAUGGCGAAAGCAGGCCACUGGGCCGUCACUGACGCUGAGGAGCGAAAGCGUGGGGAGCGAACAGGAUUAGAUACCCUGGUAGUCCA